AGCCUCGUGGUGUAACGGUAACACAUCCUUUCACAUUGCUCUCUGUGUGCCGCGCCUUUAUACGGAAGUUCCCUGUUCGAAUCGGGGCUAGGCUA